rnacentral:rRNA from 1 species
CGAGCGGCAGCGGGAAGUAGCUUGCUACUUUGCCGGCGAGCGGCGGACGGGUGAGUAAUGUCUGGGAAACUGCCUGAUGGAGGGGGAUAACUACUGGAAACGGUAGCUAAUACCGCAUGACCUCGCAAGAGCAAAGUGGGGGACCUUCGGGCCUCACGCCAUCGGAUGUGCCCAGAUGGGAUUAGCUAGUAGGUGGGGUAAUGGCUCACCUAGGCGACGAUCCCUAGCUGGUCUGAGAGGAUGACCAGCCACACUGGAACUGAGACACGGUCCAGACUCCUACGGGAGGCAGCAGUGGGGAAUAUUGCACAAUGGGCGCAAGCCUGAUGCAGCCAUGCCGCGUGUGUGAAGAAGGCCUUAGGGUUGUAAAGCACUUUCAGCGAGGAGGAAGGGUUCAGUGUUAAUAGCACUGUGCAUUGACGUUACUCGCAGAAGAAGCACCGGCUAACUCCGUGCCAGCAGCCGCGGUAAUACGGAGGGUGCAAGCGUUAAUCGGAAUUACUGGGCGUAAAGCGCACGCAGGCGGUUUGUUAAGUCAGAUGUGAAAUCCCCGAGCUUAACUUGGGAACUGCAUUUGAAACUGGCAAGCUAGAGUCUUGUAGAGGGGGGUAGAAUUCCAGGUGUAGCGGUGAAAUGCGUAGAGAUCUGGAGGAAUACCGGUGGCGAAGGCGGCCCCCUGGACAAAGACUGACGCUCAGGUGCGAAAGCGUGGGGGAGCAAACAGGAUUAGAUACCCUGGUAGUCCACGCUGUAAACGAUGUCGACUUGGAGGUUGUGCCCUUGAGGCGUGGCUUCCGGAGCUAACGCGUUAAGUCGACCGCCUGGGGAGUACGGCCGCAAGGUUAAAACUCAAAUGAAUUGACGGGGGGCCCGCACAAGCG